UACGAAGGGGGCUAGCGUUGUUCGGAUUUACUGGGCGUAAAGGGUGCGUAGGCGGUGGGGUAAGUUUGAGGUGAAAGCUCCGGGCUCAACCCGGAAAAUGCCUUGAAAACUAUCCGGCUAGAGGGUUGGAGGGGAGACUGGAAUUCUCGGUGUAGCAGUGAAAUGCGUAGAUCUCGAGAGGAACACCAGUGGCGAAGGCGGGUCUCUGGACAACACCUGACGCUGAGGCACGAAAGCCAGGGGAGCAAACGGG
rnacentral:rRNA from 1 species